rnacentral:rRNA from 1 species
UGGCGCAAGGGUGAGUAACGUAUAGGUAAUCUGCCCUUUGGACUGGAAUAACCCCGAGAAAUCGGGGACAAUACCAGAUGAAGCAGCGACAAUCGCAUGGUUGUUCUGCCAAAGAUUUAUCGCCAAAGGAUGAACCUAUAUCCCAUCAGGUAGUUGGUAAGGUAACGGCCUACCAAGGCUACGAUGGUUAGCUGGCCUGAGAGGGCGGCCAGCCACACUGGAACUGAGACACGGUCCAGACUCCUACGGGAGGCAGCAGUGGGGAAUAUUGCGCAAUGGGGGAAACCCUGACGCAGCGACGCCGUGUGAGUGAUGAAGGUUUUCGGAUCGUAAAGCUCUGUCGGGUGGAAAGAAUAAAGGCUGUGUAAAUAAUGCAGUCUGAUGACGGUACCACCAAAGGAAGCACCGGCUAACUCCGUGCCAGCAGCCGCGGUAAUACGGAGGGUGCAAGCGUUGUUCGGAAUUAUUGGGCGUAAAGGGCGUGUAGGCGGGUAUGUAGGUCAGGUGUGAAAUCCCUCGGCUCAACCGAGGAAGUGCAUCUGAAACCGCAUAUCUUGAGUACGAGAGAGGCAGAUGGAAUUCCCAGUGUAGAGGUGAAAUUCAUAGAUAUUGGGAAGAACACCGGUGGCGAAAGCGGUCUGCUGGCUCGAUACUGACGCUGAGACGCGAAAGCGUGGGGAGCAAACAGGAUUAGAUACCCUGGUAGUCCACGCCGUANACGAUGUGCACUAGGUGUUGGGGGUAAUUAAACCCUCAGUGCCGCAGCUAACGCAUUAAGUGCACCGCCUGGGGAUUA